rnacentral:rRNA from 1 species
CAAUAGCGUAUAUUAAAGUUGUUGCAGUUAAAAAGCUCGUAGUUGAACUUGUGCGUGCCCCUAAUGUCCUUUUUGGUACGUUUGGGGGUGUGCAUCCUUGGGUGGAACCUGUGUGGCAUUAGGUUGUCGUGCAGGGGAUGCUCAUCGUUUACUGUGAAAAAAUUAGAGUGUUCAAAGCAGGCUUAUGCCGUUGAAUAUAUUAGCAUGGAAUAAUAAGAUAGGACCUCGGUACUAUUUUGUUGGUUUGCGCACUGAGGUAAUGAUUAACAGGGACAGUUGGGGGUAUUCGUAUUCCAUUGUCAGAGGUGAAAUUCUUGGAUUUCUGGAAGACGAACUACUGCGAAAGCAUUUACCAAGGAUGUUUUCAUUAA